rnacentral:rRNA from 1 species
CCUACGGGUGGCAGCAGUGGGGAAUAUUGGGCAAUGGGCGCAAGCCUGACCCAGCCAAGCCGCGUGAGGGAGGAAGGUACAGAGUAUCGUAAACCUCUUUUGUCAGGGAACAAAGACUGGGACGCGUCCCCGGAUGAGUGUACCUGAAGAAAAAGCAUCGGCUAACUCCGUGCCAGCAGCCGCGGUAAUACGGAGGAUGCGAGCGUUAUCCGGAUUUAUUGGGUUUAAAGGGUGCGCAGGCGGUCUGUUAAGUCAGCGGUCAAAGCCCGGGGCUCAACCCCGGCCCGCCGUUGAAACUGGCAGUCUCGAGUUGGAGAGAAGUAUGCGGAAUGCGCGGUGUAGCGGUGAAAUGCAUAGAUAUCGCGCAGAACUCCGAUUGCGAAGGCAGCAUGCCGGCUCCACACUGACGCUGAGGCACGAAAGCGUGGGUAUCGAACAGGAUUAGAUACCCCAGUAGUC